rnacentral:rRNA from 1 species
AUUGAACGCUGGCGGCAGGCCUAACACAUGCAAGUCGAGCGGCAGCGGGAAAGUAGCUUGCUACUUUUGCCGGCGAGCGGCGGACGGGUGAGUAAUGCCUGGGAAAUUGCCCAGUCGAGGGGGAUAACAGAUGGAAACGACUGCUAAUACCGCAUACGCCCUACGGGGGAAAGCAGGGGACCUUCGGGCCUUGCGCGAUUGGAUAUGCCCAGGUGGGAUUAGCUAGUUGGUGAGGUAAUGGCUCACCAAGGCGACGAUCCCUAGCUGGUCUGAGAGGAUGAUCAGCCACACUGGAACUGAGACACGGUCCAGACUCCUACGGGAGGCAGCAGUGGGGAAUAUUGCACAAUGGGGGAAACCCUGAUGCAGCCAUGCCGCGUGUGUGAAGAAGGCCUUCGGGUUGUAAAGCACUUUCAGCGAGGAGGAAAGGUUGAUGCCUAAUACGUAUCAACUGUGACGCUACUCGCAGAAGAAGCACCGGCUAACUCCGUGCCAGCCGCCGCGGUAA